UAUAUAUACAGGCCCAGGCCCAAUUCUUGAAGCCUUGAUCUGCCGAGCCCACUCUCCUGGUCAUCAUCUUCUACUCCAAUACCAGCAGCAUUAACCUUAACAAAAGCACAGAAGGAUCUUCCAGUGCCUCGAAAUCCAUGACCAAAACAUAAAAAAUUCUCAAAGAUCCUCACCCGCACUAGGAAGAAGGAAUGAAGUGUGGCUCGACCACGGUAGCUUCCAAGAUGAUAAUGGCUUCCUUUACUGCCUUCCGCCCUCUAACUUGCGCUGCCUCUGCCUUCUAUCCUGCGCGCCUGGCUCCACACCCGCCGGACUUGAUCAAGUGGGUCCGUCGGGAAGGAGGGUUCGUGCACGAGGCCG
rnacentral:lncRNA from 1 species